rnacentral:rRNA from 1 species
AGUUAGGUUUAUUAUUACUUUUGUUGUUAUUGUUAUUAUUUGAUUAAGUAAAGUAAUAUGAAUGAUAUAUUGUUAUGUAGUGUAAAGAUUAUUAAUUGAAUUAUUAGGUGAUAGUAAAUAAGUACUGUGAGGGAAAUUUGGUUAAAUAUGUGAAAGUUAAUUUUUAGUAUAGAAAGUGUGGAAUACUGUACCUUUUGUAUCAGGGAAUAUUUAAGAUUGAAGGUUUAAUACUUUUGUCCCGAAGCAGAGAGAGCUAGGGUGGUAUGGGGUUAUUGGUAGUAAAUGGUUCUUGAAUACUACUUUAGAGGUGAAAUGUUAGUCGGUUUCUGUGAUAUCUGGUUGUAUGGGAAUUAUAUUUAAUAUAGCAGUCGGGAGAGACAACUAGAAGUUUUUCUCUAGUUAUUUUUUGACUAGUUAGAACUUGGGGGAUUUGCUCUUAGUUAUUUGAUUUCUCAUAACUUUAUGAUUUAGUUGAAUUGUUGUUGUUGGCUUAGAAAUAGCAAUCAAUUAUAAUUUUGUUAUAAUUUAUUCAUGUAAUGAUAAUAUUUUAGGCAUGGUAAGGUUUGGGUUGGAUUUACUAUACUAUUGUUAAGGAUUUUUUUGAUAAGAAAUUAUGAUAUUAUUAGUAUAUAGGAGAGGUCAAUAAAAGGAACUCGGCAAAAAUAUUUCUCGCCUGUUUAUCAAAAACAUGGCCUUUUGGAUAUAAUAUAAGGUCGGGCCUGCCCAAUGAAUUUUGUUUUGAAUGGCCGCGGUAUUUUGACCGUGCAAAGGUAGCAUAAUCAUUAGUCUUUUAAUUGAGGGCUUGUAUGAAAGGUCGAACGAGGAAGUGACUGUCUUUUUUUAAUAUAGUGCAAUUUUACUUUUGAGUGAAAAGGCUUAGAUAGUUAGGGGGGACGAUAAGACCCUGUAGAUCUUUAUAUUCUUAUUUAAACAUGAAUGGUGGGUAAUAAUUUUGUGUUUGGGUAAUUGUAUUGUGUUGGGGCGACAGGGAAAAUUAUAAACUUUUCUUAAUUGUUUUCAUUUAUUGAUGUGUUUAUUGAUCCAUUGUUUUAGUGAUUAUAAGAUAAAGUUACCUCAGGGAUAACAGCGUAAUCUCUGGUCUGUUCGACCUUUAAAUUCUUACAUGAUCUGAGUUCAGAUCGGCGUGAGCCAGAUCGGUUUCUAUCCUCCUAUUGAAGCGGACAUUUUAGUACGAAAGGACCAGGUGUUUGUAAAACUUAUUUUGUUUGGAAUAAAAAUAAAGGUG